rnacentral:rRNA from 1 species
AACGAACGCUGGCGGCAGGCCUAACACAUGCAAGUCGAACGCUGUAGCAAUACAGAGUGGCAGACGGGUGAGUAACGCGUGGGAACAUGCCCUUCGGUUCGGAAUAACUCAGGGAAACUUGAGCUAAUACCGGAUACGCCCUUAGGGGGAAAGAUUUAUUGCCGAAGGAUUGGCCCGCGUCCGAUUAGCUAGUUGGUGAGGUAAUGGCUCACCAAGGCGACGAUCGGUAGCUGGUCUGAGAGGAUGAUCAGCCACACUGGGACUGAGAAACGGCCCAGACUCCUACGGGAGGCAGCAGUGGGGAAUAUUGGACAAUGGGCGCAAGCCUGAUCCAGCCAUGCCGCGUGAGUGAUGAAGGCCCUAGGGUUGUAAAGCUCUUUCGCCAGGGACGAUAAUGACGGUACCUGGAUAAGAAGCCCCGGCUAACUUCGUGCCAACAGCCGCGGUAACAC